rnacentral:rRNA from 1 species
UACGUAGGUGGCAAGCGUUGUCCGGAAUUAUUGGGCGUAAAGCGCGCGCAGGUGGUUUCUUAAGUCUGAUGUGAAAGCCCACGGCUCAACCGUGGAGGGUCAUUGGAAACUGGGGAACUUGAGUGCAGGAGAGAAGAGUGGAAUUCCACGUGUAGCGGUGAAAUGCGUAGAGAUGUGGAGGAACACCAGUGGCGAAGGCGACUCUUUGGCCUGUAACUGACACUGAGGCGCGAAAGCGUGGGGAGCAAGCAGG